CACCAUGCCACCUUCCAGCCCCCAGCUUUGGGAUUUUUAAAAGUUCCCCAAGGGACUGACUGGGAAACACUGCCCUACAGCCUCUGUAGGUUUUUAGUAAGAGGUGACAUUGAAGUUGGUCACAACUGCCCUCAGUCAAAGUUGUUCUUAGGCACCCAACGAUUGGUGCUUGCUACAUGAGAUGAUUGUAUUAUUGUUUUGAAAUGCUAUGAGGUCCUGAGAGGAGAGUUCUGGAUUCUCAUCAGAAUGUUCUGAGGCCUGACCUGAGAGGUCCUUGUCCUCGGCCUUCUAUCUCUACCAACCCCUCCAUGACAACUAUUCUUUCUUAUUUUGAUGCAAAACCCCCAAGACAUUUUUUUUACAAUUAAAGAUAAAAUUUAAAAAUCAUCUAAGAAAACAUGUGUAACGCACUGGAAAUUUCAAGGCAAUGAGUCAUCACGCUCCUGGUCCGCCUCAAAUUCUCUUUUCUUAUGUAAGGCUGAGUCACUUUUUGUGAGGUCUGUGCAUUGCAGGAAAUAAAUGGGAAGGCUCUCAAGAUGUGUUUGUGUCUGAGAGUGAGAGGGAGAGCGAGAGCAAGAGAGAGAAAGAUUCAAGUCAUUAGUAGUCUCAGGGACUGGCAGCUCUGAAUUAACAUCAGAGAUUCCUCAUACCUGUACCUGUCAUCUCUUUUUCUCUACUCCCUUUUUUGUCCAGUGACUGCUCCAGAGUGUGAAACUGAUGGCUUCGUUCGUCAUCCUGUUGCCUGCCUCAGGACCAUUGCUUCUGGGACCUGAGGACAGAAGUCCUGUGAGCUUGUGUUACAGGAAUCCCUCCCUGCACCGCCACAUGAAACAACAUUUCUCACAGACGAGAGCUUUGGUCUUGCCCUAAGGCUCACAAAAGUGAAAAUAAAGGGACAAAGACAACAGAAGAACAGACUGCAUCCACAGAAUCUUGGGAGCCAAAAAUCCGUCAGAUGAGAGUUCGCUGACUUUGCUUACUAGAUAAAGCUGAAUACAACAUUGUUUUGAGUUGAGUAGUGUCUCCCUAAAAUCCAUGUCCACUUGGAAUCUUGGAAUGUGACCUUAUUUCGAAAAGGUUCUUUUCAGAUAUAAUCAGUUGAGAGUCUACUGGAUUUAGGGUGAGCUCUAAAUCCACCAACUGGUACCCUUACAGGAAGGCCAGGUGAAGAGACAGAGACACACAGAGGAGGAAGUAGGCCAUGUGAUGCCAGAGGAGGCAGAAACUGGCAUGGUACAACUGUAAGUCAAGGAAUGCCAAGAAUUGCUGGCAACCAACAGGUGCCAGAAAGAAGCAGGGCCUUGCUGACACCUUGAUUUCUGGUUUGUAGCCUCUGCAACUGUG